GCAGGCAGCCCACAGCCCUCUGACUCCCGGCCACGGCCGAGAUUCAAAGGGCUUUGGGCUGCCCGCAGAGCGCCCUGUGUGGGGGAUUUAGAAUUCCCCCACAGGCCGCACAGUGAGACUCUGCAGGCUGCAUGUU